rnacentral:rRNA from 1 species
CGGACGGGUGAGUAACGCGUGGGUAACCUGCCUCAUACAGGGGGAUAACAGUUAGAAAUGACUGCUAAUACCGCAUAAGCGCACAGGACCGCAUGGUCCGGUGUGAAAAACUCCGGUGGUAUGAGAUGGACCCGCGUCUGAUUAGCUGGUUGGUGAGGUAACGGCCCACCAAGGCGACGAUCAGUAGCCGACCUGAGAGGGUGGCCGGCCACAUUGGGACUGAGACACGGCCCAAACUCCUACGGAAGGCAGCAG